UGGGACACGGCCGGCCAGGAGA
rnacentral:misc_RNA from 1 species